GGUUGCCGUCAAUUGUUAAUUGUUCUAUUUUUCUACCUAAAAUCUGGUUCCAAUCAAAAUAUUCAAGACAUCUUUUCCGUUGCAUUAUGGUUCUAGUUGGUGCAUUUAAAAUAGCUAUUUUUCGAUUAUCCGGGCCGAAAUAUAUUGUUGCUAUGACUAUUUAAUAAUCGUUAGAUAAAUUAUAUGAUGCCCAAAUAAAAUGAUACACCCAACCUA